rnacentral:rRNA from 1 species
UACGAAGGGUGCAAGCGUUACUCGGAAUUACUGGGCGUAAAGGGUGCGUAGGUGGUUCUUUAAGUCUGCUGUGAAAUCCCCGGGCUCAACCUGGGAAUGGCAGUGGAUACUGGAGAGCUAGAGUGCGGUAGAGGGUAGUGGAAUUCCCGGUGUAGCAGUGAAAUGCGUAGAGAUCGGGAGGAACACCAGUGGCGAAGGCGACUACCUGGACCAGCACUGACACUGAAGCACGAAAGCGUGGGGAGCAAACAGG